rnacentral:rRNA from 1 species
ACGCUCGACACCUACGGGAGCAGCAGUGGGGAAUAUUGCACAAUGGGCGAAAGCCUGAUGCAGCAACGCCGCGUGAGCGAAGAAGGCCUUCGGGUCGUAAAGCUCUGUCCUCAAGGAAGAUAAUGACGGUACUUGAGGAGGAAGUCCCGGCUAACUACGUGCCACAGCCGCGUAAUCUGAGCGGGCUGGCAAGGC